GCGCUAAUCUCGGCCCGCUCGGCCCAGCUCCCAUUACCCCUCGCCUCCUUCCCCCACGGCGUUCGCGAGCGGCGGCGACGCGAGGGAGCGUGGCGGCCGCGAGUGGCGCAAGUACAGCAGCCCCAUGGGCGCGGAGGCGGCAGCGGCGGCUAGCAGCAAGCAGCAUGGCACGGUGAGCGGCGGCCGCGAGCGACGGGCGGAGCGGCGAGCUUGCAGGAGCCUGUCGAUUCGUGCCAAGCUAAAUCAGGGCGUGCUGCGACCAGCGGCGUGCGGCGGCAUCCAACGCCGGCGGGCGCACUGCAUCCACGACCAGCGGCAGGCGUACAGGCGAGACAAGACAGCGUUGGCCAGCGGCAGUGAGCAAGCUGGGAAAAAGCCAGCAGCGCAGCAAGCAGCGGCCGUGAGAUUCCGGCAGCGAGCAAGCAACGCGCUGGGAUCCAAUAAUUGCGCUUCGCAGCAUCUAAAUUUUAGAGGAGGGCCUCCACUGCCUCUACCUGCUAGGCUGCUAGUGAUUUGCACGGAAGCAGAGUAAAGGAAAAAGUCCAUUUAUCCCGGUAACUGCAAAAUUUGCUAAACUUGAAGCUUAACGGACCAUCAGACUAAUUUUGAAUUACUGAAGAAUAGAAUACUAAUUGUACAAAGUAAUGAACUCUAAUACGAAUGGAGAACUGUGAGUAGAUAUAUCUGGUGUUAGAUUGAAGCCAAUUGUUCCUGAAGCUGAUGGAAUGCUAUAUUAAACCAAGAGGAUGGAUUACUAAAAAGCUGCUAUGCAUUACUGAAUCCAAAAGAAUAGACUAUUAAAGGUUAUGGAAAUAUGGAACGUACUGUCAAACCAAACUCACAAGUGAAGCUCAUGGGAUCUACUCAAAAAAGGAUGGUUUAGAAUUACUGAAAGGAUGAAUUACUGAAUUAUUGGUGAACUACCUAAAAUAAGUAGUGACAUGGAAUUUUUAAAACAUGGAAUGAAAAGUACUGAAACAUGGAAUAAAAAAUGGGGCGUAGUCUAGUAUUUAGCUUUUUAAUCCAGUAGUUCAGUAAUACCAAUAAUGUCCAUUAGUCUAGUAUUUUUAAGUAGUAUCAAGAGCUUUAUUCAGUCUCAUGUAGUUUAGUAGUCUAGUAUUUGUUUUUUUAUCCAGGAGUUCAGAGUCUAGUAUUUUGCUCCAAUAGUUCGCGGGGCGCGGAAGCUGCAGCGGCGUCGAGCAGCAUGGCGUGGGAGGCUGUGGUGGUGUUGCGAGGCGGCUCGUCGGCGUCCUCGAGCAACUGGUGCGGCACCAGCGAUGGAGUGCGGUAGGGCGAGCGGUGGUCGUGGGAUGUGUGAUGAGCGUGAUUCCGCACCACACUCGCUCGAGUCCUUGCGCGGUGCCCAUAGUGGUCUCAAGCAAUGCUCGGUGAUCUAGUAUCAGUAAUUUUUCUGUUCGAUCAGUAUUACCUUGUUUUUUCUUAGAAUCAAUAAUAUUCCCAACAACAUAUUUUUUGUGAUUACUGAAUGUUAAUGAUGAUCUGAGUAGUUAGUACAAUCUUUACUUCAGUAACUUGUUAGCUCGAGUACAAUUGAUCUUUUUUUGUUAGGCUCGUUAGUUCAGUAGCAGGUGGUACCACAUUUUGUUCAGUAAAAUCUGUUCAUAUGAUCCAUACAUUAAUUUUGUCGCAGUAUCUUCAAUAAUUUUUAUGAGCUCAGUAGUUGAUAUCACAAAUUGUUCACUAAUUUUUAGUUAGUAUCAUAGAUUGUUCAGUAAUAUUGUUUAGGUCAGUAUUUUUUGGAUUUUGCCCAAUACUUUUAUUCUAGUUGUCCAAGGUACAAAGAUCUAAACCUCAAUUCUUCCAGAUACGGGGUCAUUCUAUCACCCUCGCUUACAGUAUGUCUCCAGUAAUACUUACAAAUAUCAAUGAUCCCUCAAUACCCCAGCAAUACUUGUGUAUUCUUGAGUAAUUCUCUGUAACCCAGUAAUACAAUGUAGCAUUUCAGCUAUUCUUGUUGUGCUUGUCUCAAUGAUCUUUUUCAGAGUUUUUGCCAAGACAGGUUCACAUGGGCAUGGCACCUCUUUUCCGAUAGUGAUAGUACUAACUUCACAAGGGAGAGGGUUCCCCGUGAAGAGAAAGAUGAUUCAUGUGUUUUUUAGGCUCUUUGUGUUUUGGAGGCUACAUUAGAUAAUCAUAACUAAUAUGUGUAUGUGUAGUCACCGCCCAACUAUAUGUGCAGCCUUAGAUUCAGUAAAGCAGAUAAGUUCAGUAUUA